GGCGUCGAGCGGCGGACGGGUGAGUAAUGCCUAGGAAAUUGCCCUGAUGUGGGGGAUAACCAUUGGAAACGAUGGCUAAUACCGCAUAAUGCCUACGGGCCAAAGAGGGGGACCUUCGGGCCUCUCGCGUCAGGAUAUGCCUAGGUGGGAUUAGCUAGUUGGUGAGGUAAUGGCUCACCAAGGCGACGAUCCCUAGCUGGUCUGAGAGGAUGAUCAGCCACACUGGAACUGAGACACGGUCCAGACUCCUACGGGAGGCAGCAGUGGGGAAUAUUGCACAAUGGGCGCAAGCCUGAUGCAGCCAUGCCGCGUGUGUGAAGAAGGCCUUCGGGUUGUAAAGCACUUUCAGUCGUGAGGAAGGUGGUAGUGUUAAUAGCACUAUCAUUUGACGUUAGCGACAGAAGAAGCACCGGCUAACUCCGUGCCAGCAGCCGCGGUAAUACGGAGGGUGCGAGCGUUAAUCGGAAUUACUGGGCGUAAAGCGCAUGCAGGUGGUUUGUUAAGUCAGAUGUGAAAGCCCGGGGCUCAACCUCGGAAUAGCAUUUGAAACUGGCAGACUAGAGUACUGUAGAGGGGGGUAGAAUUUCAGGUGUAGCGGUGAAAUGC
rnacentral:rRNA from 1 species